rnacentral:rRNA from 1 species
UUUUUUUUUUUUUUUUUUUUUUUUUUUUUUAUAACCUCAGACGAACGCUGGCGGCGUGCCUAAUACAUGCAAGUCGAGCGGACAGAUGGGAGCUUGCUCCCUGAUGUUAGCGGCGGACGGGUGAGUAACACGUGGGUAACCUGCCUGUAAGACUGGGAUAACUCCGGGAAACCGGGGCUAAUACCGGAUGCUUGUUUGAACCGCAUGGUUCAAACAUAAAAGGUGGCUUCGGCUACCACUUACAGAUGGACCCGCGGCGCAUUAGCUAGUUGGUGAGGUAAUGGCUCACCAAGGCAACGAUGCGUAGCCGACCUGAGAGGGUGAUCGGCCACACUGGGACUGAGACACGGCCCAGACUCCUACGGGAGGCAGCAGUAGGGAAUCUUCCGCAAUGGACGAAAGUCUGACGGAGCAACGCCGCGUGAGUGAUGAAGGUUUUCGGAUUGUAAAGCUUUGUUGUUAGGGAAGAACAAGUACCGUUCGAAUAGGGCGGUACCUUGACGGUACCUAACCAGAAAGCCACGGCUAACUACGUGCCAGCAGCCGCGGUAAUACGUAGGUGGCAAGCGUUGUCCGGAAUUAUUGGGCGUAAAGGGCUCGCAGGCGGUUUCUUAAGUCUGAUGUGAAAGCCCCCGGCUCAACCGGGGAGGGUCAUUGGAAACUGGGGAACUUGAGUGCAGAAGAGGAGAGUGGAAUUCCACGUGUAGCGGUGAAAUGCGUAGAGAUGUGGAGGAACACCAGUGGCGAAGGCGACUCUCUGGUCUGUAACUGACGCUGAGGAGCGAAAGCGUGGGGAGCGAACAGGAUUAGAUACCCUGGUAGUCCACGCCGUAAACGAUGAGUGCUAAGUGUUAGGGGGUUUCCGCCCCUUAGUGCUGCAGCUAACGCAUUAAGCACUCCGCCUGGAGACGCCACGG